rnacentral:sRNA from 2 species
GGACCGACACCGCCGAGUCGCUUGCGAGCGAGCCGGGGACCCAGGUUCCCCCGGGGUGAGUCCGCAGCCAAUGCGGUAGGGCGCCAACUUCCCGCCCGAACCCGUCAGCUAACCCGGUAGGCGGUCAGGAAGAAGGA